UACAGAGGGGGCGAAGCGUUGUUCGGAAUUACUGGGGCGUAAAGGCGCGUAGGCGGCCUGUUAAGUCGAACGUGAAAUCCCCGGGCUCAACCCGGGAACUGCGUCCGAUACUGGAAGGCUUGAAUCCGGGAGAGGGAUGCGGAAUUCCAGGUGUAGCGGUGAAAUGCGUAGAUAUCUGGAGGAAUACCGGUGGCGAAGGCGGCAUCCUGGACCGACAUUGACGCUGAACGGCGAAAGCUAGGGGGAGCAAACGGG
rnacentral:rRNA from 1 species